GGAUCUGCCAGCAGCCGUCUUGGGACCCUGAAGGAAACCAGCUUGAGCGUGAAGCCAGUCACAGAGGUGGGUAGAGAGGUGAGAUCUUGCUAUGUUGCCCAGGCUGGUCUUGAGCUCCUGGCCUCAAGUGGUCCUCCCACUUUGGCCUCCCAAAGUGCUGGGAUUACGGGCACAAGCCUCUGUGCUCAGCCCUCAACUUACUCUUAUUUCUGACUGCCGUCUGUAAUGGGAUACAUGCUGAGGCCAAAAAGAAUGUUCUUUAGAAAUGCAAUGAAAACCCUCAGCUUCCCUUCACCAGAUGCUCCCUACAUGAUACUCCCAGAUGAUCUCACUACCUGCUUACUUAGAAGCUCCAGAGCCAUGACUCUCUCUCACCAGGAGAUCGCCUCAAGAGACAACACUCAAUCUGCAACCUAAAGCAUGUCCACGAUGGAACUCGCUCCCACCUGGAGAGUAUCUCCAGACAAUGGCCACCUUACAACCUAGCUCUGCCCAGGAUGGCACCAGCUGGACCACUCAGUAGAUAAGGCGACACAUUUCUUAGGUUUUGAGAAGAGAUAGAUUAUUUAAUAAUCCAUUUCCCCAGGAUGGCAC